rnacentral:rRNA from 1 species
CCUACGGGGGGCAGCAGUAGGGAAUCUUCCACAAUGGGCGAAAGCCUGAUGGAGCAACGCCGCGUGUGUGAUGAAGGGUUUCGGCUCGUAAAACACUGUUGUAAGAGAAGAAUGACAUUGAGAGUAACUGCUCAAUGUGUGACGGUAUCUUACCAGAAAGGAACGGCUAAAUACGUGCCAGCAGCCGCGGUAAUACGUAUGUUCCAAGCGUUAUCCGGAUUUAUUGGGCGUAAAGCGAGCGCAGACGGUUAUUUAAGUCU